rnacentral:lncRNA from 1 species
GUCAUUAUGAAGAUUUUAUCAAGGCUUUAUGGAUUGAAAUAAUAAAACCUAAAAUUUCAGUGUCAUUAUGUACAUGUAUAAAACUGUUUUCUCCUUCCAACAUUCUGAUGAAGAUGCUAAUACUAUUCCCAUGUUACAGGCUUAAGAAAAUGGAGGCACAGAGAAGUUUAGAAACUUGCCUAGAAUCACACAGCUAAAAAGCAGAGAGUCAAGAUUUGAACUAAGGGACACAAUUUUGCAAUAACAUAAAUGACUGUCCUCUCUUUACCUAAAAUAUUAAGUCCUCUUCAAUUCUACUGAAGAUCCAGUAGAUACAGAACCAGUGAAAUGAUAGUGAAAUAUUACCUCUCAGUAUAAAAACAAAAGCGUACUCUAACUUUUAGGAGUUGCUCAACAAUAAAACCUGGUAUGAGGUUGGGGUUCCCAGAUACAACCAAACAUCUUCAACACGGGAACUCAGAGCUCAGAGACUGGAUUCAAAUCCUCUUUAAUUUCUUACUAUGUGAUGGUGUCUGAGCCACUCGAAGUUAUCUUUAGCUUCAGUUUCAUGAUUUUAUUUAUUUAUUUUUAACUUUUUAUUUUUAAAUUUUUUUAUCAUUUAUUUAUAUCUAUAUAUUUUAUGCUGUACAGCAUGGUGACCCAGUUACAGUUACAUGUAUACCUUCUUUUUUCUCACAUUACGUGUUCCAUCAUAGGUGACUAGGCAGAAUUCCCAGUGCUAUACAGCAGGAUCCCAUUGCUAAUCCAUCCCGAAAGCAACAUUCUGUAUCUGUUUACCCCAAGCUCCCAGUCCCUCCCACUCCCUCCCCUUCCCCCUUGGCAACCACAAGCCUAUUCUUCAAGUCCAGGAUUUUCUUUUCUGUGGAAAGUUUCCUUUGUGCUGUAUAUUAGAUUCCAGAUAUAAGUGAUAUCAUACGGUAUUUGUCUUUCUCUUUCUGACUUACUUCACUUAGUAUGAGUCUCUAGUACCAUCCAUGUUGCUGCAAAUGGCAUUAUUUUGUUCUUUUUUUAUGGCCGAGUAGUAUUCCAUUGUGUAUAUAUACCACAUCUUCUUAAUCCAGUCAUCUGUCAAUGGACAUUUGGGUUGAUUCCAUGUCUUGGCUAUUGUGAAUAGUGUUUAAAACAAAAUAACAAAAAGGGGAACAAUCAUAACUCUAUAAAUUAUUGUGAUGAUAAGAUAAUUAACAUAACUAACAUAAAGCCCAUGAUUCAUUAUAGAUCACCAAUAAGUUUCAUUUCCUUUCUUCCACUGUCAUAGGACUUGCACAGUAGAGCUUACAAGAGAUCUUACAGGAAUAGGAGAGGUGGAACUAGAUAUUCUUAUUUCAGAAAAGGGAUUAGUUUAGCUACUUGGUGCUGAAAGCGUCACCAUGGAGCCUGUUCCAUUUGCAAAUUCAUGAGCUUUACCCCUGACCUACUGGAUCCAGUCAUUUUGGGGUGGAGUCCAAGCAGCCCUGCUCUCUAGGUGGUUCUCAAGCUCCAUAAACUUUGCCAUGUGCUGGCCUUGGUGACCUCCAGGGACUCUUCCGGCUCUAAUUCUGUGGUUCCAGUUGAUCCCUUCCUCACCACCACCCUUCCAGUAAUUGCUACCAUUGGUUGAAUACCUCUUGUGCUCAAACAUGCAAGUAAAUACUUUGCACGCAUUCCUUUAAUCCUUACACCAGUGGGGUUGGCACUAAUAUCGUCCACAUGGUCCAGAUGAGGAAACUGAGAAGUUAAGGUACUGGCAGACAAAGAUUCCAGUCGGAGUCCAUUUGGAACUCUAGCUUCUAGGCGCUGCUAAGCUAAUCACCACAUAGGGGCUCUCAUAAUUCUAAGAAGGACCCAGUGGGGAGCUAUUUAUAUAUGUCUCAUAAUGCACUGGGAUAAAGACAUUAAUCUAAGAAUCUCAGACAAGUUAUCAAGAAGGCCCAUGUGGAAGGUCAUGGGCUGAUAGCCCAAGUCCUCUCAAGACUAGAAAAAUGCUGUGAGGUCACGCAGCUGCAGAGGAGGGGCUGGGCAUUUCCUCCCAGGGGAAGGCUCCUUGAGAAGCAACCUGGUGGGUGGAGGAGCUGCCUUAAGCGCCCUGCAAUUGAGAAACACAGCUGUAGGUAAUUAUUUGUUCCCAGCUAUAAAUAAAAUAAUCCAAAGAAGAAUGAGGGAGAAAGAGCAGUUGGGGAGCUUCAGGCACGCUUCCCCCAUCAGUUGCUCUUGAUGAUAAAGCAAUGGGGUGGAUUUAACUACUUUCCGCCCCCUACUGCCUUUUUGCUGGUGAUGUCUCUGCAGGGAACAGAUCUUAAAGCAGAAUUUAUGGUCAUCUGAGCCUGCAGAAGGGAUGACUAUACCUGUCUUCCUGUUCCAUGGUCCUGAUGCUGGAGCAACCAGCAGCACAGAUCCAGGGAGUUUCUUGGGUGGAGGGAGGGAGACCUCAUGUGUCACAUCACCCUGGGGCCCUUGCCUCCCCUUUGCAUCUUUUUUAACCACACAGCUGGAACCUUGGCACUGGCCUCAUACAUACACACUGUUCAAUGCAGGUGGGGCCUCCCAGCGGAGACAGUGGUCAAGAUUUCAGAUGAUCGGAGAAGGAGACCCCCCUUGCCCCCCAUCUCAAACCAGCUCCAGUGCCAGAAUUCUAUGAGAACACCAGCCCUUCUUUGGUAAAGCAUUCUUAGUCCUGUAACUGGCAAAUGCUCCUGAAGAUGGAAGUGCAUCAAGCCUUCCCUUUCAUGUGAGCCUUCAUGGUCAGAUGUCACCUAGGCUUCGAUGGCUUCGAGGAGGGAGAAUACAGUGAGGUCCCUGACCCGCACUGCACCCUGCUGCCCUCACCCCAUGCUUGUUGUAAAUUCAGGGCACUGUAAUGAAGGUUAGGAUGGUCCUGCCUGGCUGACAUUUGCUAGGCAGUCUUCCACAGCAAAAUGCAAACUCACAGAAAACUUCACACUGUGAUGCUCUGACAAAUCGUCAGCCAUCCUGACAUCUACCCAGAACACGUUUUGGUUUGAAGCCCCAUUUGAAUGUGGCUCAUGAGGAGCUUGCCUUAGGUAGGGUCAACCUGUGGGCAUCCCGGAGUCUUACCUUGAUGCCUAAGCCUGAAGGAUCCUUGUUCUGAAGAGGGUAAGACUGGAAGAUCCUGCACUGAGUGAGGCCUGAGGAAGUUUUUCUGUUCCUUCGUCCAAGUAUGCCACACACCCUUGAGAAGGGACCACCAGUCUCUGUGGGCCAUGUUGCCUCUCCUUAUGAGGAAUUGAAGUUAAAAGUCCAAAUUGUUACACACUUGUUCCCCAAACAUUACUAUAAAUCAGUAUUUUAAUGAUAUCAGUGAAAUCUCAUAGACUUGUACAUUCAGGGAGUCUUUUGUUAUGUCUGUGGACCUUCAGCUGACUUAGGUUCUCCAGAUUCAGCUUCAUAGUGGGCGACUUGGCAGCUGUGAUCUGAAAUGUGCAGAAUGGGAGCUUGGGUCUGUGGGAAUCCACAGGGCACUCAGUGUGUAAAGGUGACUUUCUAAUUCAGAUCACCCUCAGGACCACCUGGGGUUCCUGGUUAGAACAGACCAUCUUCUAUGAAGCAGAGCACAGCCAUAGGAUUAUUAACCUAAAUGGAAAUGCCAAGUCCUUAUGAGAUGCCCAGAGACGGAUCUGGUACUGACAGUGUCUUGUUGCCCAUCUGCGCCAUGCUCUCCAUGUAAGAUAUAAAUCGCCCUCACCUUUGAUGUGAUCUUCCUGUGUUUCAUCCUAUUUAAAACUCUUGAGGAUUAUUCUCUUAGACCCACAUAGUGAAUGAGAACUGGGGUCCUUGAUUUGGAUGGGGACAUCAGUUUAUAAAAAUGAACAUAGAUAAGUUUGAAACUAAAUAGAUUACAAACUCUUUACUGAAAUGAAAUGAGAGAAAUCAAAUGAGGGGAUUAUCUGGUGAGCCAUCUCCUCAGGUCUAGAUUUUCAGGGAGAGGCCACUUCUCUUGUUUAUAAGCAAGUUUCCUCUUGCACAAGAUUUAAUUGGAGAUGCUAACAUGUGUGGGUGAUGUCUCACCCACAAUAAACCCCAGGGUUGUAUCUGAAUCAUGAACAUUUGGUGGCCUGUGGAAGGGUGUCUGUCUGUCCCAAAGCCUAGACGUCUCUCUUAAUGCCUGCUCUCUGCCUUACCGAGAAAUCACAUCCACCUCUUUGUUCACAUUCUUUCACUCACUCAUUUUUCUCAGGCACUCUAGAGAGAAGGCAGAUCCUGCUCUCGCUGGGUUUACGUUCUUGUGGAAGAGUCAGUUAUAUUCAAUAAACACAUACCAAAAGUCAUGAGAAUAGGAAAGGGCACUAAGAGUGUAACUAGGGCAGAUGGGUUGCCUUUUAGCCACGACAGUCAAGGAGGGUUUGGUUCAGCCAAAGCAAGAGCAAAAGCCCUGGGGCAGGGAUGAGCUUGCUUGUAUAUUUUUCUUUUUAACAAGCUUUUAUAGCUCUUAGCAUGUACCAGGAGCUGACCUAAGCACUUCGCAAAUAAUAUACCAUUUAAUCUUGGAAACACUGGGAUGUAAAUAUUACAUCUUAUAAAUGAUAAAGUUGAAGCACAGAAAGUUUAAGUAGCUUGCCCAGCAUCACACAGCUGGUGUGGAACAAGGAUCUAAACCCAGAUCUGUCCCCAUGGUCUGUGUUCAUAACCGCAUUGCUGGUGGUUCCCAAACUGCUACACAUUGGAACACUUUGGGGAUCUUUAAAAACUACUGAUGCCUGGCUUCUUCCCUCAGCCAUUUGGAUGUAAUCAGAAUGGGCUGAGAGUCAGGCACUGGGCUUGUUUGAAAGCUCCCAGAUGACUGGGACGUGCAACAGAUUUGCAGCCCAAGGGCACAGUGCCAUCCAUUUAACAUUUGAACGUGUGAGAGCCUGAAAGAACACCAGCGUGUCUAGGCUUGAUGAACGAGGGAGUGGCUUUUCCUCCCCUUCCGACCCUGUUGGUUGGCUUUUCCUUGUUUAUGCAUCUGCUAGAAUCAAAAGCAUCCACAUAAAGAAGAGAUAGUCUACUUUGAAUCACGAACGUACUGGUUCUAUCAAUGACACCAUUCGCAUCAGCAGUGAGUGCCUGGUUCUUCCUCCAUUAACGUCCACAGCCCACUUGUGGCCUGACCAAGUGGGGAGAGUGUUCCACAAAGGCCGUCAUAGAUCAGCUUUGCUGGGCAGGGGCAGGGACAGGUGGAGCUGGUUCUUGAACCAAUGACGUCAGCCCACCAUCCCUGAGUGAGCCCAUUUUAUAUUUUUCGUAGAAGUUAAUGCUCAAAGUGAACCCUGAUUCUUCUCAUUUUAUCUAUGAGCUACUUUGUAUUCAUGCUACAAAUUGCUCUUCCAUUCACUAAAAAGUUGGUUGGGGAGGUCCUUUUGUGGCACAGAGGGUUAGGAUCCUGCACUGGCACUGCAGUGGCUUGGAUUGGCACAGGUUUAAUCCCUGGCUCUGGAAUUUCCAUAUGCUAUGGGAGCAGCCCCUCU